rnacentral:rRNA from 1 species
AAAACGACUCUCGGCAAAGGAUAUCUCGGCUCUCGCAUCGAUGAAGAACGUAGCGAAAUGCGAUACUUGGUGUGAAUUGCAGAAUCCCGUGAACCAUCGAGUCUUUGAACGCAAGUUGCGCCCUAAGCCUUCUGGCCGAGGGCACGUCUGCCUGGGUGUCACAAA